UAUGCGGGCCCAGCCUAGGUCUCCUUUGCUCCUUUACCAAAUUCCCUUUGUCUUGCCACAGGCCCCAGGACCUCCAGGCAACUUCCUCUCCUUCAUCAGCAGUUGCCAGCAGUCAUCCUCUGGGCUCUGCCAGCAAGUUGGCAGCAGGUGUGGGGGGUGGAACACAAGCUUAGAAGUCACAAAAUCAGUAUUCUGGGCCCUACAUGAUGAGCUGUCACUGAGUGAUGCUGGCAUUGCAACUGCUUCUGUAAACAGGUGGGAUGGGUUCAAAGUGUGGAAUCAUUACCACAGCUGAUUAAUGAUGAGGUGGCAGAGAUGUGAUGUUAGAUAACAUUCAACCACACAUUGAGACUACGAUUCCCUUUUUAGUUUCUUCAAUUCUUGUGAUUAUGAUAAAAACAGGAGAAAGUUUCAAUCCAAUGCACUAUAUUCUUUUAUUUCCCCCCAUUGUUUUGAGACAGGGUCUCGCUCUGUCAUCCAGGCUGGAGUGGAGUGGCACGAUCAUAGCUCACUGUAGCCUCCUGUGCUCAAGUGAUCCUCUCACCUCAGUCUCCCGAGUAGCUGGAUAAACAAGUGUGUGCCAACAUGCCCAGCUAAUUUUUUAUUUUUAGUUUUUGUAGAGAUGGGGUCUCACUUUGUUGCCCAGAUUGGUCUCUAACUAAUUGACUCAAGUGAUCCUCCUGCCUUGGCCUCCCAAAGUGCUGGGAUUAUAGGUGUGAGCAACCACACUGGCCUUCUGUGUCUUCAAUACAUCUGUAUCACUUGCUAAUCCUGCAAACCAUACCUAUCCUGGUUUUCUUUUCUUUCCUUUUUUUUUUUUUUUUGAGACAGAUUCUCACACUGUCACCCGAGCUGGAGUGCCAUGGCUCGAUCUUGGCUCACUGCAACCUCUGCUUCCUGUGUUCAAGCGAUUCUCCUGCCUCAGCCUCCCUAGUAGCUGGGAUUACAGGCUCACGCCACCACACCCGACUAGUUUUUUGUAUUUUUAGUAGAGACGGGGUUUCACCAUGUUGGCCAGUCUGGUCUCAAACUCCUGACCUCAUGAUUUGCCCACCUCAGCCCCCCAAAGUGCUGGGAUUACAGGUGUGAGCCUCCGUACCCAGCCCCCUUUCUGUCUUUCAUAAGGAAAAUAAUAACUAUAAUCUAAUCAUACUGUUUCUCAAUCCAUGGGAGUGAGAGGAAGUUUCUUUAAAAAUAAAAUGUAUAAAGAAGUGAGUCACGUUAGAUUAUCUGAGUGUUAGAUAAGCUGAGGUGGUGUGGGGAUAUGGUAAAGCUCAUGACACUGGUAUGUGAAGGACUGAAGUUUGUCAAGCCCUUCACUAGACUAGCUGAGACUCAGUAAAUAAUCACUCUAAGAUUGGAAACUUGAAAUCCUAACACUGGAAACUUGAAAUCCUAGAAAUGCUUCCAAAAUUAUGCCAGCUGAUUUCAUUUUCAAAUGCUGCACACAGAGGGGCUCUCAUCUGUAAGGAACAGAGCACCCUCUUCAACUCCUCAUCAUCCUUCUCUGUUAGUGGUGUGAGCACUGCCAUGGCAUCCUCUGUUGACUGGCACUGUGGACAGACAUACUCAUCAAUGAGCUCUGCCUCACUCUGCAAGAUGCCAAUGCAGCACCCAUGGUACCAAUUCUGACACCGAUCAUGGCCAAUAAAAAAUCUGCAAGAUCCAAAAUGGAAAUGUGAGUUCAAAACAGAUGGGAUGAUGUUACUUAUAAUAAAGCAUGCACCUGAAAAUUUGCUAAACCCUGGGAUAUAAAAUAGUUUUAGUAUUAUGGUUUUAAUGCUUUCAAGAUCGACAUUCCAGUACAUUAAUUUAGUAUUUUUGAUGUUAAGAACAAGCAGUAAAAAAAUUUAUAAGAACACUGUAAUUUUGGAGAACCAAUUUAAAGAUAAAUAUGAAACAUUCAAUUGAUUUUAAAGCUGAAAACAAGUCACAAAUCUUUCAACUAGUACUGUACCAUGUGGGAGUUCAAAAUCCUAUAAGGUAAUAACAGAGUCUCAAAGCUUAUACCCAAAUUAGUGUUUUUCUAACCUAUAAUAAAGCACCAUUUCAAACACUGAUAAAGUCCAAACAAGUCAGGCUAGUUUAAUCUCAUUAAUUUCUAUGUUACAUAUUGAAGAAUCAAAUUUACCAUUAAACCACAUUUUCCCCAAUGUGUCUCAAACAUUCACUAUGAAGCAAGAUAAAUUUUGAAGGGUAGGUAAAAAGGGAAAAAGAGAAAAAAAAUGAAAAGGAAUUUGUAAUGUAAGUGUAUAACAAAUGUAGAAAAAAUCUGCUUUUUAUUUUAAAGUAAAUAAGUAACCAGUCAGAGCAAUUUGGCUUCCUAAAUUAUUAAAUGUGAUGCUCUUAUUAGAACUCACUGUGACUGCAGGUGUUCUGCAGAUACAGUACAAUUCCUCACUGCUGCCCUCUUGUGCCCAUUUACAAUCAUUACAGAUGUACACAUCCAUUUUCUUAGCCUCCUUUUCUGCGAUGCCAACACAUUCUCCAUAAUAGCAGUUAGUACAAAGAUCACAGCCAAUAUAGAACCUAAAAGUAUUCACAACGAAAAUGACAAUGUAAUUGUCGUUUUGAGCUGCAUGGUACUUAAAUCUGUCUUCCCUGCCUUGCUUCAUUUUUUUACAGGAUAACUUCCUGCUAUGAGUCAGCUAAACAUUCCUGAAUCCAACCAUUCUACCGCCGGCAAACUCCAGUAUCUGAUGCUCUAUCACAUGUGGAAACAAAGUCACUCACAUGGGUUUCAACAAGUACACUGCUUAGUGAAAUAUGGAUCUUUAAAAACAUACUGGAAUUUGAAAAAAUAAACCACACACUGAUGGUAAUGUCUUCCUCUGAAUGAAUGUGUGUAAAGCUGUAACAGGCACAAAAACCAAAGCCAAAGAAUCAAAGACUUACAUCUGUCAAACCUAUUCCACAGAAGCCAUUUCAAUAUCAGGGCUAUUUCUUAGAUAGGUUUAAAAAUGUAUCUCACAAUUUAAAUUUGAAAACAAAGCAAAGCGCAAACACCAAGUAGAAGUUACACUACACGGACCAUGCAGGUCAGCCAGGUGUAGAAGAUAAAUGGUCAAAAUAUGCUAAGAAGAAGAAAACUAAGAAAGGUACAUAGAGCAAUUCAAUCUCUACCAGGUUUUCUGAAUAAACAUUGGAAUUUAAUCGAAUUAAAAAUAAUUUCUCAUAA